rnacentral:rRNA from 1 species
CAGUCGCCACGGUAAAACGGAGGGUGCAAGCGUUAAUCGGAAUUACUGGGCGUAAAGCGCACGCAGGCGGUCUGUCAAGUCAGAUGUGAAAUCCCCGGGCUUAACCUGGGAACUGCAUUUGAAACUGGCAGGCUAGAGUCUUGUAGAGGGGGGUAGAAUUCCAGGUGUAGCGGUGAAAUGCGUAGAGAUCUGGAGGAAUACCGGUGGCGAAGGCGGCCCCCUGGACAAAGACUGACGCUCAGGUGCGAAAGCGUGGGGAGCAAACAGGAUUAGAUACCCCUGUAGUCCCUGUCUCUUAUAC